GAAUGCGCAGGCGCGUCAUUCCGGCGCCGGCUUUGGCGGAGGGGCGGGACUUGCACCGGCGUUUCUUCUUCUAACUGCAGUUUGUGGCAGCGCCAUUUUGAAUGUGCGGCUGCCGCGGGUGUGAGUCGGCGGAGGACGAGUUGCGGACUCGUCUACAUAGCGGUCUCUUGAUUGUCGAUAUUUUGUUGCCGUAGGUUUCUGUAGAGACGUAUACAUAUAUAUAGACACACUAUAUAUAAAUCUAGGCCUGUAUCCGGUGUCCGAGGCGAACUCACUAAGAUGAUGUUAAGAGGAAACCUGAAGCAAGUGCGCAUUGAGAAAAACCCGGCCCGCCUUCGCGCCCUGGAGUCCGCGGCGGGCGAGAGCGAGCCGGCGGCCGCGGCAGCCAUGGCGCUCGCGCUUGCCGGGGAGCCGGCACCGCCCGCGUCCGCGCAGCCGGAGGACCACCCGGACGAGGAGAUGGGGUUCACUAUCGACAUCAAGAGUUUCCUCAAGCCGGGCGAGAAGACGUACACGCAGCGCUGCCGCCUCUUCGUGGGAAACCUGCCCACCGACAUCACGGAGGAGGACUUCAAGAGGCUCUUCGAACGCUAUGGCGAGCCCAGCGAAGUCUUCAUCAACCGGGACCGUGGCUUCGGCUUCAUCCGCCUGGAAUCCAGAACACUGGCUGAAAUCGCAAAAGCAGAGCUGGAUGGCACUAUUUUGAAGAGCAGACCUCUACGAAUUCGCUUUGCUACGCAUGGAGCUGCCUUAACUGUCAAGAACCUUUCUCCAGUUGUUUCCAAUGAGCUGCUAGAGCAAGCAUUUUCUCAGUUUGGUCCAGUAGAGAAAGCUGUUGUGGUUGUGGAUGAUCGCGGUAGAGCUACAGGAAAAGGUUUUGUAGAAUUUGCAGCAAAACCUCCUGCACGAAAGGCUCUGGAAAGAUGUGGUGAUGGGGCAUUCUUGCUAACAACGACCCCUCGUCCAGUCAUUGUGGAACCCAUGGAGCAGUUUGAUGAUGAAGAUGGCUUGCCAGAGAAGCUGAUGCAGAAAACUCAACAAUAUCAUAAGGAAAGAGAACAACCGCCACGUUUUGCUCAACCUGGGACAUUUGAAUUUGAGUAUGCAUCGCGAUGGAAGGCUCUUGAUGAAAUGGAAAAGCAGCAGCGUGAGCAGGUUGAUAGAAACAUCAGAGAAGCCAAAGAGAAACUGGAGGCAGAAAUGGAAGCAGCUAGGCAUGAACACCAAUUAAUGCUAAUGAGGCAAGAUCUAAUGAGGCGUCAAGAAGAACUCAGGCGCUUGGAAGAACUCAGAAACCAAGAGUUGCAAAAACGGAAGCAAAUACAACUAAGACAUGAGGAGGAGCAUCGGCGGCGUGAGGAAGAAAUGAUCCGACACAGAGAACAGGAGGAACUGAGGCGACAGCAAGAGGGCUUUAAGCCAAACUACAUGGAAAAUGGUGAUAAAAGAAAACGUGGCUGAAGUUACAUGAAGUGCAGCUAGCAGUGUAAUUCAGAAGAGUUAAGACCAGAAGUACUGGAAUCAUACCUCCUUUCAGGUCAAAACAUUUUGUGGGAAAUACCCUGUUCGUGACCUGGAAGAAACAAGACAAAACAAAUCUUACCUCACUUACGAAUUUCUUACUCCAUACAGUUUAUGGAUGUCUGGGCAAUCAGCACUUUCCAUUUAAAAACAUGCUACAGGGGCACAUUUUCUGUGGUUAAAAAUGAUCUCUGGAAUAAUUGUAAACUGCAGUUUUCCUUUUUAUCGAGGGUUUUGGCUUUUUAUUUGUAAAUUAAAUCAAGAUGUUACCUACUCCUUGGUGUGGUGGUCUUGCUGGUUCAUGUUGGAAAGUAGUAUGGCAGCAAUGCACCAAUUCAGAAUAGCCAGCAAAUCCCUCCUUUCAACGCUCUGUGACUGGGAACCAUUAGAGGAUUUUUAAAAACCAUCCCUCAUAGCCCACAAUUUUGAGUCAACUCUCAAAGUUGGGAAUAAGAAAACUGGCAUUGUUGGGAGAAAAAUCGUUUUUACUGAAGCAUGAACUGGCUGAGGCAAGCAAAUAGCGGGAGUUGGCAGAGGAAGGCGAGCGUGCUGUGGGGACGCGUGGAGGCGUCACCUUCAAAACUAAAGUGCCAUGCGGACCGAUGAGUCCUUGAUCUUGUUCCCAUUUGACUGAAUUGUAAACCACUUCAUUGUCUUCACAGUCUUGCCACUUACCUAAUGAGGCUUUUCUGAACCUGGAAGGAGACGUCUAGAAAUCCCAGCUUUGCUGUGUAAGGACCAUUAGCUGCAAGUCAGCGGAAGUCUCUAGAAAGCAGUGUGAAUUCCAUAGUGGUCUUGACUUAGCAAGGAUUUGGGACAAGUCUAAAACUUCAGACUUAAAGCUUUGACACGUUAACUGCAUAAAAUAUUAAACAUUUUGAACUUCUUUA